rnacentral:tRNA from 1 species
GGUGGCUCAGUGGUAGAGUGCUUGCCUUGCAUGCAUAAAGCCCUGGGUUCGGUUCCCCAGCACCA